rnacentral:rRNA from 1 species
GAUGAACGCUGGCGGCGUGCUUAACACAUGCAAGUCGAACGGAAAGGCUCCUGCUUGCAGGGGUACUCGAGUGGCGAACGGGUGAGUAACACGUGGGUGAUCUGCCCUGCACUUCGGGAUAAGCCUGGGAAACUGGGUCUAAUACCUGAUAGGACCACAUUUUGGAUGGUGUGGUGGAAAGUUUUUCGGUGUGGGUUGAGCUCGCGGCCUAUCAGCUUGUUGGUGGGGUAAUGGCCUACCAAGGCGUCGACGGGUCGCCGGCCUGAGAGGUUGUACGGCGACAUUGGGACUGAGAUACGGCGCAGACGCCUACGGGAGGCAGCAGUGGGGAAUAUUGCACAAUGGGCGCAAGCGUGAUGAAGAGACGCCGCGUGGGGGAUGACGGCCUUCGGGUUGUAAACUCCUUUCGCUAGGGACGAAGCGCAAGUGACGGUACCUGGAGAAGAAGCACCGGCUAACUACGUG